CCUACGGGUGGCAGCAGUCGAGAAUCAUUCACAAUGGGGGAAACCCUGAUGGUGCGACGCCGCGUGGGGGAAUGAAGGUCUUCGGAUUGUAAACUCUUGUCAUGUGGGAGCAAAUUAAAAAGAUAGUACCACAAGAGGAAGCGACGGAUAACACUGUGCCCGCAGCCCAGGUAAUAAAGAGGUGUCAUGCGUUGUUGGGAAUCACUGGGCGGAAAGCGUGCGUAGGCAGUUUCGUAAGUCGUGUGUGAAAGGCGCGGGCUGAAGCCGCGGACGGCACAUGAUACUGCCAGACUAGAGUAAUGAAGGGGUAACCGGAAUUCUCGGUGUAGCAGUGAAAUGCGUAGAUAUCGAGAAGAACACUCGUGGCGAAGGCGGGUUCCGGGACAUUAACUGACGCUGAGGCACGAAGGCCAGGGGAGCGAAAGGGAUUAGAUACCCGAGUAGUC
rnacentral:rRNA from 1 species